AAACAAAGUAAAAUAAAUGUGUGAUUGUAGAGAAAUAAAAUUAAAAAAUACCAACAUCAAAAAAGUUUUAGUUUUGCCAAAUCUUUCAGACUGACAAUACCUCAAGAAAUUCACAUUUGUUUAAAUGUAGCCAUUUAAUAUUUUAUUUUGAGAAUAAUUAUAGAGCACAGGAAAACAUAACAUUUCCAUGAUAAGAUUCAUCUGAGGCGGCACACAGUGCUUUGAUAAGAUGGCCAGUAUUAUAUGUCAAGCAAGAAAUUUGCUUUAUUUUCAAGUUUAAAAAAUGAAUAUUGCACUGUCCAGGACUAUGAAAUAACUGAUUCAGACUGCAAGAGAAAUUUGGUCUUACUUGAGUGCAUACUAGUGCUAUAAAAUCUUACUCUAGCUCAGAUGAAUAGUGGCAACACUAUAAUACAUAGACCCGUAUUGCAUUUACCACUGUAUCCUGUCUUUCACAAUCACUGGGCAGCAUUUUAUUGCAGUAGUCUGACAGAGCAAAGCAAAUCAAAUUUAUUUGUACAGCGCAUUUCAUACAUAACUCAAUGUGCUUUGCUUGAUUAAAAGCAUUCAAAUGAAUAAAAAACGGUUGAAAAACUAUAUUCAGAUUUUAGUGCAAAAAAUCUCACGUGCUGCAAUCAUGAAAGACCAAAUUUAUUCGGUAAUCUGAUCUAGGCAUUACUUGUUCUCUGUGUCACACCACUGAUGUUUAUAAAAAAUAAAAAUAUUGGUCAGAUAUUUACAAUACUACCUCAAAAGACAAGAUUUAAAAAUAAACCAGCUUUUCGAUUCAAAUAUACUGUACACAAUAGGGCUGCAGAUAAAUGUCUUUUGCAGAGCCAAUCCAUACCGUAAUUAAUCGGAUCGGCAAAUGACAGUUAAAGCAGAUCAUCUUAAAAUGCUACUUAUUGGCCGUUACGUAUCAAGUUUAUCAGUCAGUAGUCUGUUCACGAUACAAAGUGUCUUAGUAUCCUGGAGGGUGCAGUUUGUUUAUUUUGUAUCUUGUACCUACAAAAAUAUUCAAGACUCCAAACUAAUGUACUGUUAAUGUUUUCUCCAUUUGCUGCGCAGCUGAGGCAAAAUUGUUUUACCUUAUUUGCUUAGUAUUUCAAUAUGUUUGUGGUUACUCUUAAAUAUCGACUAUGAGGAGUGUUAACAAAAGUGUUAAAAUGUUGAACGACUCUAGGUGCUUUAAUUUUACUUUUAGCAGUGCAGAUGCUUCAAAACCAACUAUUUAAAACUUUUAAAAAUGUUUAAAAAAAAUAAAUCAGUAAAACAAUUGAGAUGAAAUAUGAAGAACCUAACCAUGAUUUUUUUUUUUUUUUAAAUGUUUUGAUCACCCGCACUAGUUGCCAAUAAAUCAAAAUACCGUACAUUAACCUUAAAGCAUUUGGAUGGAGUAGCAUUCAAAAGGGGGGAAAAAAUAAAUCCCCACUUUUCAACUCUGUUCUAGAAAAAGUGACAUUGGUGCAAUUAAAAAACAACUGAUUAAAUAGCUAAUGGUUUGUCAUGCAUAACUGCGUCUGGGAGGAGUUUCCCUACAUAACUGGAGGUAUCCAGCAACUUCUGUAACUCCUAAAUCAGAGGAAUUUAGGUGCUUGCUGGCAAAGUUUCGUUUUUAUUGCGUCAGUGUGUGUUCGCAUAAAUCUGUUGAGGCCUUGAUGUGUUUCUGCAUGCAAGAAAAUGAGGGUGAGGCACCAGGUGUGAUACCAUUAUUCUGUUAUUACAGCAAAUGGAAACUAUGCACUACACUAGAAAAGAGGGGGGUUGUUACAAAAUGUAUUCAGUUAUUGAAGACAAGGUGCAGAAUGCACAGAUGGGAUGAAUGCCAAUGCCACCAUUCAUUGUCAAGCAUAAGGAGAGAGCACAUUGAAAAGUAAAAACAAAAACACCAUAAUAUGGUACAAUAUGCCGCUAAAUCCCAAAAUGUUUUUUUUUGCUUGAGAUGCAUAGUAAAAAAAAUUACAAUUACAAAUAUAUGACCACAUUAACUGCUUGUUUCAAAAAAAUUAAAGCAUCUGUUGAAAAUCAACUUACUUUACAAGUUGGAAAAAGACUUAGAAAAGUAAAAUGCUAAUGAAAACAAAUAUUGUGGUCUAUCUCAACUUAAACCCGAAAUAAUGCUUGUCAUAACCUCAUCAGGCGGCACGGUGGUUCAGUUGGUAAAAGCGUUAGCCUCAUAAUUCUGAGGUCACGGGUUCAAUCCCGGACCCGCCUGUGUGGAGUUUGCAUGUUCUCCCCGUGACUGCGUGAGUUUUCUCUAGGCACUCCAGGUUCCGCCCACAUCCGAAAAAACAUGCAACACUAAUUGGAUUGCCCCUGGGUGUGAUUGUGAGUGUGGCUAUUUGUCUCUAUGUGCCCUGUCAUUGGCUGGCAACCAGUUCAGGGUGUACCCUGCCUCCAGCCCGCUGACAGCUAGGUUCAAGCACUCCCCGACCCUUGUAAGGAUAAGCGCUAAGACAAUGUAUGGAUGGAUGGACUCAUCAUUCGGGUUUACCCAUGUUCUUUAAAGAUAUGGUAAUUUUUGAGAAUGUAAACUUUUGACCUUGAAGAAAAUGUAAAAUUCUCUUGGGAAAUGCUGUCAUUAUUGUGGUAUUUAACAAAAUUAAAUAAUUUUGGUGAUCUAACUGACCUGAAACACGAGAGGUUUAGUCUGAUUUCAGUUCAGACAGUGAGACGAAAAUGAAAAGUAUGUUUUUGCACAGUGUAUGUAAACUUCUGGCUUCAACUCUAAAUAUAUAUUAAUAAAAAUAGUGCUUAAUUUUUUUGUUGUUGUGUCCCCAAUCGUAUCGCUUUUAACCCAGUUUGCAUGUCAUAUGCUUCAGCGGUGCUUAUAUAAGAAACAUUCCCAUGAAUAUAUUUUCUGAGGAUUCCAAAAUGUGAUUCCGUUUUGAUGUUUGGCACAUGGGCAUUUUUGUUUCUAUGGGGAAAUACUGAUGAAAUACUGAUGUUCUGUAUUCUCACAAUAGGUUCGCUGUUCUCCGUUAAAGUCCCUGUAAAGCAAGGGUCUCAAACUCAAUUUACCUUGGGCCUGCCAGAGGCAGUCUGGCUGAGGCUGGGCUCGGUACACAUGCACAUAAUUUAAAUCAGAAAUAAUCAUAAUAAUUAAAAAAUCCAAUCUUUUCAAAUGUCUCUUUUUUUUUUUAACAUAAAAGAUAAUCGGGGGUGCUGAUGUAACAAGUUGUGUGCAAAACCAACAAUAAAACUCCAUGGUAACGCUGCUGUAACUUCUACUCAUUGAAAAAUGUUUCUCUGCUUGCAUCAAUAUCAUGCCCCCGAGAGCCAUUUAGCCCACCAUGAUUGGUAGCUUCAUCAGCUCUGCAACUCAACACUGCCAAAGUACCAUUAAUAUAAAACUUGAAGGCCCCACAAAAACUUUCAUAUUAGGUGGGGCCAUAAAAUACUAUUUUGUUUACACCCCCAACUAAUUAUAAUGCUUAAGGAGAAAAAAAACUCACCACUGAGGUCUAAAGAUUAUAAUGAAUCAAGAAUUUGUCACUGAAAAGUUUCGAAUAAUGCAAUUAUGUAAAUUCGCUGGAAUGUUACAUCACAAUUCUGAGGUGUUGCUUAUACGCAAAAUUUUUGAAAUAUGUAGUCCAUAAAAAAUGACUAGGUUGUGCAAUUAAUUAGUUGGUAGGCAUGACGAAGACCCAAAUAUUUACAGUGAGUACAAUAAAAUGUGCUCUUUAUACCAGUUUUGCAGUGGCUAAUUUUCUCUCCAUGAUCCAUACGGAUCCCUCGCCACGGUUCAGAAAGCAAUGUGGUCUCCAGAUUGGCUCGUGUUAGUUGGGGGAAAAAAAAUUGCGUGUUCAAAUGAAGACAGUAUGUUUAAUUCACACAUUAGUUGAGCAUAGUGGUAGAAUGUAGUUGUGUCUGUUGUUGUGCAUGACUUAAAGGCAGAGUCAAAGUUAACAAAAAAGGCUAGAUGAUGUAAAGUUUAAUGGCUGAAAGGCUGAGAGUGUUAGAGUAGGUGUCCCGGAGGAUUUUUUUCUUUUUUCCACUUGCUUGUUUUGGACAGUCUGAGGGCCCACAUAAAUGAUUCAGUGAAAAUAGCCAACAAGAGAUAUAACUUGAUUCCAGCUGUGAUUCCUGGAUGUACAACAAAGUUUAUAUAGCCACUGGACAUCAGCACAUAUUGUGGUUUUAAGGUGGCACUCAGAGCUGAGUGGGAGGCUUGGAUGAGAAGCAGCCAGAAGUUUUUUUUACAUAGUCACAUGCAAAGAUCAUCCUUCUCUGAGGUAUGCCAGUGGAUUUUACAUGCGUGUAGCAGUGUGAACGUAUCUAACAUCAUCAAUAUAUUUAGAAAGGCUGGACUGCUACUAAAAGAGAGCAAACCAACUUCAGUGGUAACUGUCUCGAGAUGCAAAUGAUGAGGAGGGCACAGACACCAAAAUGCUGUGUGACGGAAACAUUCUUAAAUUACAAUACUGAAGACCAGGACAUCAGUGGAGUCAAUGAACAAGAAGGAGAACGAAUAAAAACAAUAACAUUCCUGUUGUGUCUGAGGCAUUUUACGGCCAUGUUUCAGUCAAGCAAGGUCUUACUCGCUCAUUUAUCUUGCAGAAGAGCCUGAAGAGCCAGGUGCAAGAUGAGAAAGUUUUCCAAAGAUAACAUUCUAUGGAAUACGAGCUGAAAAGACCAGAAAAGAUAGAUGGAUUUCGGCAAUUAAAUGUGAUGGAUGGUGCCCCACCAAAUACACCUGUGUAGCGAUCGCUUCAUUUCAGGUCAGGUCGCAGAGGCAGUAGCUGUACCAGGGAAGCCCAGACUUCAUUCUCCCAAGCCACUUCCUCCAGCAUUUCCGAAGCGAUUCUGAGACAUUCCCACGCAAGCCGCGAGACGUAGUUUCUCCAGCGUAUCCUGGGUCGUCCCUGGGAUGUCUUUCCAGUAGAACGUGACCAGAACACCUCAGCAGGGAAAGUCCAGGAGGUAUCCAAAACAGAUGCCUGAGCCACCUCAUCUGGCUCUUCUCAAUGCAGAGGAGCGGGAUCUCUACUCUGACUCCCUCCUAGAUGAUCAAGCUUCUCACCCUGUCUCUCAGAGAGAGCUCUAUUCUACCUAUCGACUCAUGUCCCUACUCAGCUUGGUGGCAUUCCUCACCAUUGGUGCCCACCAACAGUUUCAGGGAUUGCCGCCACAACAGGCAGCGACAACCUUACGAUCACAGCUCUGGUCGGCCGCCUCAGCAAUUGAGGCACUGAACAUGGCCAACUAAAACUCAGUUUGCCUUGAAGCCCCCACAGAUGUGGCUAAAAUUAUGUCGGAAAUGGGAGUUGAAACUGCUUCUGACAAGGAAUUCUGCCAUAUGUUCCCAGCAGACCCUCAAGAUAAGUUGAGGCCUGGCAGGUCGGACCAGCAACUUCCCCCACCAUUGGAGCUACUCACCAGCAGGUGGUAAUUGGUUGACAGCUCCGCCCCUAUCGUCAUGCAAGUGUCCAAAACAUGCGGCCAAUAACAUGAACACAAAGUCUAUCAUCAAACUGCAAACUAGGCUGUCCUGCAUCAGAACAAUGUCCCCAGGAGGACCACUCUCCAGCACUUUAAGAACUCCAAAAAAAGGAGUGUACUCUGUGUGGUGCAAACAGGAGUAAGGACCCGUCCCCACACCCAAUGGUUGAAGGGUGGCUACCUUCUUGUGCAUUGGGGUUUACCCCAAAGUAUAGGCUCCGAGCCAGAGGGCAUUUAGAAAACCCACACUUGCUUGGUGCUGCUCAUCGUGGGCAACUCCAGAGUAGAAGAAAGUCCAACCCGUCUCAAAAGGACUAUUACCAGAUCUCAAGCAUGUGUAGAGGCAAGGCGGACACUGUCAGAACUUUACCUCACACACCAGGUCAGAUGGGCUCUUUCCCUGCCAGAGAGGUGACAUUCCAUGUCCCUAGAGAGAGCGCUUGAGGCAGUGGCGAAGAACACCAAUGUCUUCGCCACUGCCUGCUGGCCAUCUUACAUUGCACCCAACCCCCAUGUCUCCUACCACAGGUGGUGAGUCCGUGGGAAAGGCGGCCCAUGUUACCGGUCCCAGCUGUGUCCCAUAGGUGCAGACCUGGCCAGAAGGCACGCGUCUUCAAGCCCCAUUUCCAAGAGGGGAAGGGAAAAUAUUUUGCUGAAUGUUAUAAUGUUCAUAUUUUAUGCAAUGAAAUAAAAAAAUGAAUAAAGUAUUUAACGCAUGGCAAAAACAAUAAGGUAAUAUUGCCCCGGACACUUCACUUGAUUGUGAAAUGUUCUCUUCUUCGAAAAGCGCUUCUGUGUCUGAAGGGCUCUGUCCCAUAGUAGGGGCCACACCGUGUUUUCAAUGGUCAAUGUCCGGGGUGACGUCACGGACAGUAAAUGCAGCCAAUAUGUAGACUACUCUGUCGAAUGACACUUCCGGAACUUUGCACAUGGAUGACGCGCUCUCCGCUCAUAUUUAUUUUUUUGGGUACGUGUAGUGAAUAUUAUUAUAUGUAUUUUUCAUUUCAAUAUCCAUUUUAGAAUGUUUAUAGGGAUAACACUUGACUAUUGCCAAAAAGCUCUAUUUUUGUUUCAU